ACUGGUGUUCGGGUUGUCAUGCCAAUGGCACUGCCCCGGUAGCUAAAUGCGGAAGAGAUAAGUGCUGAAAGCAUCUAAGCACGAAACUUGCCCCGAGAUGAGUUCUCCCUGAGACUUUAAGUCUCCUGAAGGAACGUUGAAGACGACGACGUUGAUAGGCCGGGUGUGUAAGCGCAGCGAUGCGUUGAGCUAACCGGUACUAAUGAACCGUGAGGCUUAACCUUAC
rnacentral:rRNA from 1 species